rnacentral:misc_RNA from 1 species
UAUCCGUAGGUGAACCUGCGGAAGGAUCAUUAUUGUAUAACCGAGGUGCGAGGGCUGUCGCUGACCCGAAAGGUCGUGCACGCCCGAGUGCCCUCACACACAUCCAUUUCACCCCUAUGUGCACCACCGCGUGGGUCCCCCUUUGGCUUGUUCGGAGGGGGGCUUACGUUUUCACACAAACUUUGUAUGCAGUGUAGAAUGUAUUUUUUGUUUUUGCGAUCACGCAAUCAAUACAACUUUCAACAACGGAUCUCUUGGCUCUC